CCUACGGGAGGCAGCAGUAGGGAAUCUUCCGCAAUGGACGAAAGUCUGACGGAGCAACGCCGCGUGAGUGAUGAAGGUUUUCGGAUCGUAAAACUCUGUUGUUAGGGAAGAACAAGUGCGAGAGUAACUGCUCGCACCUUGACGGUACCUAACCAGAAAGCCACGGCUAACUACGUGCCAGCAGCCGCGGUAAUACGUAGGUGGCAAGCGUUGUCCGGAAUUAUUGGGCGUAAAGCGCGCGCAGGCGGUUUCUUAAGUCUGAUGUGAAAGCCCCCGGCUCAACCGGGGAGGGUCAUUGGAAACUGGGAAACUUGAGUGCAGAAGAGGAGAGUGGAAUUCCACGUGUAGCGGUGAAAUGCGUAGAGAUGUGGAGGAACACCAGUGGCGAAGGCGACUCUCUGGUCUGUAACUGACGCUGAGGCGCGAAAGCGUGGGGAGCGAACAGGAUUAGAUACCCUGGUAGUCACCCGUAAACGAUGAGUGCUAAGUGUUAGAGGGUUUCCGCCCUUUAGUGCUGCAGCUAACGCAUUAAGCACUCCGCCUGGGGAGUACGGUCGCAAGACUGAAACUCAAAGGAAUUGACGGGGGCCCGCACAAGCGGUGGAGCAUGUGGUUUAAUUCGAAGCAACGCGAAGAACCUUAC
rnacentral:rRNA from 1 species